AGUCAGUGCGCAUGCGCGUAGCUCGGCUUAAAGGAGCCGCGCUGGGAACACUGCGGUCGGGGCGAGGAAGCUGCCGGGGAAGUGAGAUGACGGUCGCGGGGGUGCCCAGGAGCCCUGAAAAACUUGUGCCCUGGGCACGGCAAAAUCUGCAGGUUGCAGAAAGUCUCAACUGAUCCUGGCAUACCCCGAGGUGCCGACUUUUAGAGCUGAAGAUGCAAGAAAGAUUGGGAUCCUGCGAUGCACCGAACCUGUCUCUCGAACUUCCUGUGUUAAACAAUUUGCUACAAGGUCACACAAUUUUAACUAGAAGACUGAGAUGUGAACCUGGGUGGUCUGAUGUGAACACCACUGUCUGGUAAUCCCAACGCUCUGCUGCUUUGCGACAGAGAAUGUUUUAGGGAACACACAGACUAUGUACUUAACCAAAUCUGGAAUUUGCCGUAAGAUAUUAAUCAGAGAAGUAAUGAUACUUGCAUUUUAAAAUGAAGGCUUUGGCAGUAGGAGAAGGGUGAAUAAGAGGCUUAAGAGCCUGAAGGGAGAAAUGCCAAUGAUACAAUUAUCCAGCAAGAAAUAAUCAGAAGUUGAAGUAAGGCAAUGAUGGUAGGGAUGGAAUAUAAAAAAGCUGUACCCCUAUCUGACAUCUUUAUUGGGGGAACCCGCCCCCAAUAUUUCAACGUAGGUUCUUUCUAUUUUCCAUAAGUGUUGGCCAGCUGAGAAAUAAAGAGAGACAGUAUAAAGAGAGGAAUUUUACAGCUGAGCCACCGGG
rnacentral:lncRNA from 10 species